rnacentral:lncRNA from 1 species
UUUACAAGUCUACUAUUUUGCUGAUAUCAAAGCCAGAUAAGGACAUAGCCAGAAGAGAAAAUGACAGACCAAUAUCCCUGAUAAACAUGGAUGCAAAAAUCCACAACAAAACACCAACAGACUGAAUUCAACAGCACUUUAAAAGGAUCAUUCCCUGUGAUCAAGUGGGAUUUAUCCCUGGAUGCAAGGAUGGUUCAAUAUUACAAAUCAAUAAGUACAAUAUACCACAUUAACAGAAUGAAGGACAAAAACUAUAUGAUCAUCUCAUUCGAUUCAUAAAAAGUGUUUAACAAAACUCAACAUCCUCUCAUGAUAAAAGAAACCCUCAACAAAUUAGGUAUAUGGUAGAAGGAACGUGCCUCAAUAUAGUAAAGACCAUAUACAACAAGCUCACCGCUAGCAUCACACUCAAUGGGGAAAAGCUGAAAGCUUUUCCUCUAAGAUCAGGAACAAGACAAGGAUAGCCACUGUCACACUUCUAUUCAACAUUGUCCUGGAAGUGCUAGCCAGGGCAAUUAGGCAGGAGAAAGAAAUAAAAGGCAUCAAAUAGGAAAGGAGGCAGUAAAAUUGUCUGUUUGCAGAUGACACGAUCUUAUAUACAGAAAACCCUGAAGACCCCACAAAAAACUGUUAGAACUGAUCAACAAAUUCAGUAAAGUUGACAGAUACAAAAUCAACAUACAUAAAUCAGUAGCCUUUCUGUACACUAUGAACUAUCUUAAAAGGAAAUUAAGAAAAUGAUCCCAUUUACAAUAGCAUCAAAAAAAUAAAAUACUUCCAUGUAAAUUUAACCAAGGAGGUGAAAGAUCUGUGUACUAAAACGUAUAAGACACUGAAGAAAACAAAGAAGGCUACAAAUAAGUGGAAAGGCAACCCCUGUUCAUGAAUAAGAAUUAAUAUUGUUAAAAUGUGAGUAUUACCCAAAGCAACCUACAAAUUCAAUGCAAUCCCUGUCAAAAUCCCAAUGACAUUUUUUGUAUAAGUAGAGAAACAAUCCCAAAAUUCAUAUGGAACCACAAAAGACCCCACGUAGCCAAAACAAUCUUGAGAAAGAAGAACAGAGCAGGAGGCAUUCUACUUCCUGAUUUCAAACUCCAUUGUAAACCUAUGUAAUAAAAAUUAGCAUGGUUGUGGCAUAAAAACAGACACAUAGACUAAUGCAACAAAAUCUAGGGCCUAGAAGUAAUCCCACACAUAUAUAGUUAACUGAUAUUUUUUCUACAUUUCCUAUAGAGAUGGGGUCUCACUAAAGCGCCUAGUCUGAUCUUGAACCCCUAGGCUCAAGUGAUCCUCCCAUCUCAGCCUACUAAGUCGCUGGGAUUAUAGGCAUGUACCACCACGCUUGGCUCAGGUUAACUAAUAUUUGACAAGGAUGCCAAGAAUACACAAUGGGGGAAGAAUUAUCUCUUCAGUAAACAGUGUUGGAGAAUAGAUAUACACAAGCAUAAGAAUAAACUUUGAUCCUUAUCUUACACCAUUCACAAACAUUAACUCAAAAUGGAUCAAAGGCUUAAAUUUAAGACCUGAAAUGGUAAAACUCCUAGAAGAAAACAUAGGAGAAAUCUCAUUGAUAUUGAUCUUGGCAAUAAUUUUUUGGAUUUGACACCAAAAGCACAGGAAACAAAAGCAAAAAUGAACUAGGGCAAUUUCAUCACAUUAGAAAGCUUUUGCACAGCAAAGAAAGCAGUCAACACAAUGGAAAGACAACCUAUGAAAUGGGAGGAAGCAUUUGCAAACCACAUAUCUGAUAAAAGGUUGAUAUCCAAAAUAUAUCAGUAGCUCAUACAUCUCAAUAGCAAAAACAAAAAAAAAAAAAAAA